CCUACGGGCGGCAGCAGUGGGGAAUAUUGCACAAUGGGGGAAAGCCUGAAGCAGCGAUGCCGCGUGAGUGAAGAAGUAUCUAGGGAUGUAAAGCUCUAUUAGCAGGGGAGAAAAUGACGGUACGUGACUACGAAGCACCGGCUAACUACGUACCAGCAGCCGCGGUACUACGUAGGGGGCAAGCGUUAUCCGGAUUUACUGGGUGUAAAGGGGGCAGAGAGGGCAGGACAGGUCUAGAGUGAAGGCCCGGGGCUUAACGCAGGAAGUGCUUGUGAUACUGUGCUGCUGGAGUGCAGACGGGGUAAGCGGAAUGCGUGGUGUAGCGGUGAAAUGCGUAGAUAUUAGGAAGAACACCGAUUGCGAAGGCGGCUUACUAGACUGUAACUGACGUUGAUGCUCGAAAGCGUGGGUAUCAAACAGGAUUAGAUACCCUUGUAGUC
rnacentral:rRNA from 1 species